GGCCUAACACAUGCAAGUCGAACGCCCGUAGCAAUACGGGAGUGGCAGACGGGAGAGUAACACGUGGGAACGUGCCCUUCAGUUCGGAACAACCCAGGGAAACUUGGGCUAAUACCGGAUACGUCCGAAAGGAGAAAGAUUUAUCGCUGAAGGAUCGGCCCGCGUCUGAUUAGCUAGUUGGUGAGGUAACGGCUCACCAAGGCGACGAUCAGUAGCUGGUCUGAGAGGAUGAUCAGCCUCACUGGGACUGAGACACGGCCCAGACUCCUACGGGAGGCAGCAGUGGGGAAUCUUGGACAAUGGGCGCAAGCCUGAUCCAGCCAUGCCGCGUGGGUGAUGAAGGCCCUAGGGUUGUAAAGCCCUUUCGGCGGGGAAGAUAAUGACGGUACCCGCAGAAGAAGCCCCGGCUAACUUCGUGCCAGCAGCCGCGGUAAUACGAAGGGGGCUAGC
rnacentral:rRNA from 1 species